rnacentral:rRNA from 1 species
GUCGAGCGGUAAGGCCCUUCGGGGUACACGAGCGGCGAACGGGUGAGUAACACGUGGGUGACCUGCCCUCCACUCUGGGAUAAGCCUGGGAAACUGGGUCUAAUACCGGAUAUGACUUCAUGCCGCAUGGUGUGGGGUGGAAAGCUUUAUGUGGUGGGGGAUGGACCCGCGGCCUAUCAGCUUGUUGGUGGGGUAAAGGCCUACCAAGGCGACGACGGGUAGCCGGCCUGAGAGGGCGACCGGCCACACUGGGACUGAGACACGGCCCAGACUCCUACGGGAGGCAGCAGUGGGGAAUAUUGCACAAUGGGCGAAAGCCUGAUGCAGCGACGCCGCGUGAGGGAUGACGGCCUUCGGGUUGUAAACCUCUUUCAGCAGGGACGAAGCGAGAGUGACGGUACCUGCAGAAGAAGCACCGGCCAACUACGUGCCAGCAGCCGCGGUAAUACGUAGGGUGCAAGCGUUAUCCGGAAUUAUUGGGCGUAAAGAGCUCGUAGGCGGUUUGUCGCGUCUGCUGUGAAAACUGGGGGCUCAACCCCCAGCCUGCAGUGGGUACGGGCAGACUAGAGUGCGGUAGGGGAGAUUGGAAUUCCUGGUGUAGCGGUGGAAUGCGCAGAUAUCAGGAGGAACACCGAUGGCGAAGGCAGAUCUCUGGGCCGUAACUGACGCUGAGGAGCGAAAGCAUGGGGAGCGAACAGGAUUAGAUACC